UAAUAUAAUUUUUAUCACCAAACGAUACUUGAGCAAACAAACUAAUAUCGCAUUAAGUCAUUUCAGAA
rnacentral:tRNA from 1 species